rnacentral:rRNA from 1 species
GUGCCAGCCGCCGCGGUAAUACGAAGGGGGCUAGCGUUGUUCGGAAUUACUGGGCGUAAAGCGUAUGCAGGCGGACUUUUAAGUCGGGGGUGAAAUCCCGAGGCUCAACCUCGGAACUGCCUUCGAUACUGGAAGUCUUGAGUCCGGGAGAGGUGAGUGGAACUCCGAGUGUAGAGGUGAAAUUCGUAGAUAUUCGGAAGAACACCAGUGGCGAAGGCGGCUCACUGGCCCGGUACUGACGCUGAGAUACGAAAGCGUGGGGAGCAAACAGGAUUAGAUACCCCAGUAGUCC